ACUGUAGCUCAGUGGCAGAGCAUUUGCCUCGCAUGCAGGAGGUCCCAGGUUCGAUCCCUGGCAUCUGCA